ensembl:lncRNA
GCACUUAUGGGGCAGCUAUGGGGUAUCUAUGGGGUGGCUAUGGGGCACUUAUGGGGCGGCUAUGGGGCAGCUGUGGGGCACUUAUGGGGUGGCUAUGGGGCACUUAUGGGGCAGCUAUGGGGCAGCUAUGGGACACUUAUGGGGCGGCUAUGGGGUAUCUAUGGGGCGGCUAUGGGGCACUUAUGGGGCAGCUAUGGGGCACUUAUGGGGCAGCUAUGGGGCACUUAUGGGGCGGCCCCACAGGCGCAGUUCGAGACGCCCUACGUGGUGCGGCUGCACAACUUCCACCAGCUGGCGGCGCCGCAGCCCUGCUUCACCUUCCGGCACCCCAAGCCAGACCCGUCGGAGGACAACAGCCGGUACCGGAUGCUGUCGUUCCCGGUCGGCGUCACCACGGCGCUGCACGGCUUCGCCGGCUACUUCGAGACAACCCUCUAUGGCGACGUCACCCUCAGUAUCCGCCCAGAGACGCAUUCGCCUGGGAUGUUCUCCUGGUUCCCCAUCUUCUUCCCUUUAAAGCAGCCAAUGGCGGUGCAGGCAGGGCAGACGGUGGUGCUGUCGUUCUGGCGCCGUGCGGCGCCGCAGAAGGUUUGGUACGAGUGGGCCGUGACCGAGCCGGCCUGCUCCGCCCUGCACAACCCCGCCGGCCGCUCCUACACCAUCGGACUGUGAGCAAUAAAGACUCAGCAAUGGCGCUUCCGGUGGCGGACAUCUUGGCUUCCGGGAGGAUUCGUUGGAUUGGGGGGCGGAGAUCUUGGGUGGGGGCAGCCAUCUUGGAUUUGAGGCAGGGUGGGAUGGGGGGGCAGCCAUCUUGGGUUGGGGUCACACUGAAUUGGGGGUGGCCAUCUUGGAUUGAGGGCAGCCAUCUUGGAUUGGAGGCGGGCAUCUUGGGUUGGGGUCACACUGAACGGGGUGCAGCCAUGUUGGAUUUGAGUGAGAAUCGGAUGGGGGCAGCCAUCUUGGAUUGAGGGCCGCCACCUUGGGUCGGGGUCACACUGGGUUGGGGGUGGCCAUCUUGGAUUUGGGUCAGACAUCUUGGAUUUGAGUCAUUGUGGGAUGGGGGCAGCCAUCUUGGGUUGGGGGCGAGCAUCUUGGGUUGGGGUCACACUGAAUUGGGAUCGGCCAUCUUGGAUUGGGGGCAGACAUCUUGGGUUGGGGUCACACUGAAUUGGGAUCGGCCAUCUUGGAUUGAGGGCGGACUUCUUGGGUUUAGGGUCACACUGAAUUGAGGGUGGCCAUCUUGGAUUGAGGGCAGCCACCUUGGAUUUGAGUCAGUGUGGGAUGGGGGUGGCCAUCUUCGAUUGGGGGCGGACAUCUUGGGUUGGGGUCACACUGAAUUGGGGGCGGCCAUCUUGGAUUUGGGUCAGCCAUCUUUGAUUUAAGGCAGGGAAGGGGGCAGCCAUCUUGGAUUGGGGGUGGCCAUCUUGGGUUGGGGGCAGACAUCUUGGGUUGGGGUCACGGUGGGUUGGGGGCCGUCAUCUUGGGUUAAAGGCCAUCUCAGGGCGGGGUCACGCUGGGUUGGGGGCGGACUUCCUGGGUGGGCUGGGGGUGGCCAUCUUGGGUUAAAGGGCGUCCUCUUCUUUUGGGUGCGGCCAUCUUUGGUUGGGGCGGCCAUCUCAGAUUGGGGGCAGCCAUUGUGGGGGUAUUUUGCCCCCGCGGUGCCAUUUUUCAACUCCUUUCUCCCAGUUUUCUCCCCGUUUGCCCCCAACGUCCCUGCGGUGCGCACGUUUACUCAGUAAACCCCUUUUUGCCACAGUUUUCCCGCUUUUAAGGAAAAUUUUCCACGCUCGCGCCCAUUUCCCCACGCCUUUUAUUGGAUUUUCCCAUUUCGUGCCGCUUCGUCCCGUUUUUUUUGGCCCAUUCCCCCGCUUUCCGCUCCCUGAGGCUUCACCCCCCGCAAGUAGGCCGCGUUUCCAUGGCAACGCCUCUCCCGGAAGAGGCGGGACCGCGUCGUCACGGCGACGGCGG